rnacentral:rRNA from 1 species
CCUACGGGGUGCAGCAGUGGGGAAUAUUGGGCAAUGGGCGCAAGCCUGACCCAGCAACGCCGCGUGAAGGAAGAAGGCGUUCGGGGUGUAACCUUCUUUUGUAAGGGACGAAGCAAGUGACGGUACCUGACGAAUAAGCCACGGCUAACUACGUGCCAGCAGCGGCGGUAAUACGUAGGUGGCAAGCGUUAUCCGGAUUUAUUGGGUGUAAAGGGCGUGUAGGCGGGAAUGCAAGUCAGAUGUGAAAACUAUGAGCUCAACUCAUAGCCUGCAUUUGAAACUGUAGUUCUUGAGUGCUGGAGAGGCAAUCGGAAGUCCGUGUGUAGCGGUGGAAUGCGUAGAUAUACGGAGGAACACCAGUGGCGAAGGCGGAUUGCUGGACAGUAACUGACGCUGAGGCGCGAAAGCGUGGGGAGCAAACAGGAUUAGAUACCCUAGUAGUC